UACGUAGGGCGCAAGCGUUAUCCGGAAUUAUUGGGCGUAAAGAGCUCGUAGGCGGUUUGUCGCGUCUGCCGUGAAAGUCCGGGGCUCAACUCCGGAUCUGCGGUGGGUACGGGCAGACUAGAGUGUGGUAGGGGAGACUGGAAUUCCUGGUGUAGCGGUGAAAUGCGCAGAUAUCAGGAGGAACACCGAUGGCGAAGGCAGGUCUCUGGGCCACUACUGACGCUGAGAAGCGAAAGCGUGGGGAGCGAACAGG
rnacentral:rRNA from 1 species